CUAGAGUUUGGCUCUGGCUCCCAGCUGCGUGCGCAUCCUGGCUGGGAGAAGGGAGCUUCGAGCACCAAGUGAGCCUGAGAGCACCGCUCCAGCCGAACGCACAAGGCAUUGGGCGGCAGCCCCAGCACGUGAUCUUCAAACGGCACACACAGUCAAGCAGCUUCCUGGGCCACCUCUCUAACAUUCUAGAACCAUGGCUCUGUAGGAGGAGAGAAGGGGAAUGGAGCUGUCUUCCUCCUUGCAAAUGAAAGUGGUCUGAAGAGAUCCUGAGAUCAAAGACUGGAGAACAACCCGUCUGGAAGAACAGAAAUUGCAAUAUGGAGACUGACUUUGGCAUGUGUAAAUCCAAACACAGCUGUCCUCUGCUCCUGAGUAUACUCAUCCUCCAUUCAAGUGAGCAGCCCAGCUUCUUAUCGCCCAGUGCAAAUUUGGAGAGAGAGAGAGAGAGAGAGAGAGAGAGAGAGAGAUGGAGAGAGAGAGAGAGAGAGAGAUGGAGAGAUUCAGGCCCUGUUUGGCCUGACGAGAGUCCUGUGUGCAUCCUUGGUUCAUCAGCUCUGGACCAGAGAGGGUAGGAUUCCUAAGCCACAAAUUAUUGGUCCAUUCACCAAUUGAUGGACAUAUAAGUCAUUUCCAGUUUUCAUUUCUUCUGGAUAGAUACCUAGGUAUGGAAUUUCUGGGUCAUGUGAUUAGAAUGAACUUAGUAGAAGUCAAAAUGUUAAUCAGAACAAGGAGAUGCAUUUCACAAAAAAGAGAGAGAGAGAUCACAAGCAGGAGGAGCAGCAGACAGAGGGAAAAGCAGGCUCCCUGCUACGCAAGGAGCCUGAGGCGGGACUCAAUUCCAGGACCCUGGGAUCAUGCCCUGAGCUAAAGGCAGAUGCUUA